UACGAAGGGAGCUAGCGUUGUUCGGAAUCACUGGGCGUAAAGCGCACGUAGGCGGAUGUGUCAGUCAGGGGUGAAAUCCCGGGGCUCAACCUCGGAACUGCCUUUGAUACUGCAAAUCUCGAGUCCGAUAGAGGUGGGUGGAAUUCCUAGUGUAGAGGUGAAAUUCGUAGAUAUUAGGAAGAACACCGGUGGCGAAGGCGGCCCACUGGAUCGGUACUGACGCUGAGGUGCGAAAGCGUGGGGAGCAAACAGGG
rnacentral:rRNA from 1 species